GAAGACAUGUUUGAAAGGUCAAGAGAGCCGAUAGGGACUCCUCUGGCCAAGCUCGAUUUUCUCCAAAAAGUUAUACUGAGAUAAAAACAGUAGAGACCUCUACAAAGGCACAAUGUGUGAGUUUCCCCAUGCCAGUGGGAACUCAGGAUGAGGCUCCUGGCCCCACCCAGGCAGAGCCCUCUUUGAAGUCACUGAGCAGGUAAAGCUAUGAACUGUUUCUGGUCUCACGUUUGUUAUCUUUUCCUCACUCACCCACUUGUCAGGCGGUGGGCGGGGCGGUGGGCGAAACUACCUCAAUAGUCCAUUGUUUGAGGGCGUGGCUCUCAGACCGGAGCGGCUUGGAAGAGCGAGAGGCGGUUUUUGGGCUAUUUAUUCCUAGGCCUUCUCCUCUCUCUUCCCAGAGAUUCUUCCUCUCUUUCCCUUUCACCCAGACUUCUCCACCCACGGGUGCUGCCAGCCCCGCUGUGAUGCCGUUACUAACCAAGGAGCCUUGUUUAAAUGCUAGUUACUUCAGGGGGAAAGCCCACCAGCUGAAAGGGAAAAAAACCAGAGAGGAAAUAUUCCGCUGAUCUAAUGCUUUCCCACAGCCUGCAGCACCAUCACAGCUCCUGAGCACCGCUCUUCAGAAAGCCUCCUCGAGCAUUGUUCAAGGGAUCACCGACAUUUUCUGGAUGUGACAAUGUAGUGAACUUAGAGGUCAGCAGUCACACCAUUUCUGUCUAACAGCUCAGGGCGAGUGUGGCCAUCCUUUUGGGAUGUCAGCAGUACUUCCGAAUCAGGGUGGCUAUGUUCUAGAGACAGUUCAUCAACGCAAACAAGAGGUAGGCUGAAGUUUGCCCCUGUGACUGAGAGAAGGAAGCUGCAUUGACGGACGGCCCAUCCUUCUCUUUGUGUCAAACACUUUGCCCAACCAUCUCCACUUAUUUCCCCGACAGCCCUGAAGGCUGCUGUGAUUUAUCAGUAUCUAAAGACUGGCAGAAGCGAGAGGGUGACAGGAUGCACCCGGAGCAUACAGCAGUGGUCGGUGGAGCAGGGUCCUUGAGCAGUGAAGAAUUCCAAAGACCAGGCUCAUAGGAGCUACAGAGUAGAGAUGAGGAAUGAAGCGAUAAAGGCUGAAGGUGCAAGGACAAUAAUCAUAUUAAACAAACUGGAUCAGUCUCUCUGGAAGGCAAAUACCACAUUUCCUUUGAUUUGCACUUCCUAGAUUUUGUAUAGGCACACACACUCAUGUGUGAGUGACAUCAAAAAUAAAAGCGAAUCUCUGUAGAACAAAGGAGACCAGUGGGGCAGAGGAGAAGGGAUUAUCUUAGGGUCUCCUAAAGAUAAGCAAUAAAAUCCCAUGGCCAAAGCAACCUGGGGAGGAAAGGAUUAUUAUACCUUAUAGCUUAUAUGUCUAAACCCCAGAGAAG
rnacentral:lncRNA from 1 species